rnacentral:rRNA from 1 species
GACGAACGCUGGCGGCGUGCUUAACACAUGCAAGUCGAACGAAAAGAGGGAAAGAGCUUGCUCUUUCCGGAAUUGAGUGGCAAACGGGUGAGUAACACGUAAACAACCUGCCUUCAGGAUGGGGACAACAGACGGAAACGACUGCUAAUACCGAAUAAGUUCCAAGGGCCGCAUGGCCCAUGGAAGAAAAGGUGGCCUCUACCUGUAAGCUAUCGCCUGAAGAGGGGUUUGCGUCUGAUUAGCUGGUUGGAGGGGUAACGGCCCACCAAGGCGACGAUCAGUAGCCGGUCGGAGAGGAUGAACGGCCACACUGGAACUGAGACACGGUCCAGACUCCUACGGGAGGCAGCAGUGGGGAAUCUUCCGCAAUGGGCGAAAGCCUGACGGAGCAACGCCGCGUGAGUGAUGACGGCCUUCGGGUUGUAAAACUCUGUGAUCCGGGACGAAAAGGCAGAGUGCGAAGAACAAACUGCAUUGACGGUACCGGAAAAGCAAGCCACGGCUAACUACGUG